CAACCCUCAGGGCCCGCCUGCUCGCAGGCGCGGCGCUGGUGUUGGGGAUCGGCCCUAACCGGCCGUCCCCCAAAUACAGUGGCGGUCUCGCUGCAGCCUCCCCUGCGUAGUAGCAACACUCGCAGGCGGAGCGCGGCGCGGCCACGCCGUAAAACCCCCGACUUUCUGAA
rnacentral:misc_RNA from 1 species